rnacentral:rRNA from 1 species
UACGAAGGGGGCUAGCGUUGCUCGGAUUGACUGGGCGUAAAGGGCGCGUAGGCGGUUCGUACAGUCAGACGUGAAAUUCCUGGGCUCAACCUGGGGGCUGCGUUUGAUACGUGCGGACUUGAGUGCGGAAGAGGGUCGUGGAAUUCCCAGUGUAGAGGUGAAAUUCGUAGAUAUUGGGAAGAACAUCGGUGGCGAAGGCGGCGACCUGGUCCGAUACUGACGCUGAGGCGCGAAAGCGUGGGGAGCAAACAGG